rnacentral:rRNA from 1 species
GUAACACGUGGGUAACCUACCUAUAAGACUGGGAUAACUUCGGGAAACCGGAGCUAAUACCGGAUAACAUUUGGAACCGCAUGGUUCUAAAGUGAAAGAUGGUUUUGCUAUCACUUAUAGAUGGACCCGCGCCGUAUUAGCUAGUUGGUAAGGUAACGGCUUACCAAGGCAACGAUACGUAGCCGACCUGAGAGGGUGAUCGGCCACACUGGAACUGAGACACGGUCCAGACUCCUACGGGAGGCAGCAGUACGGAAUCUUCCGCAAUGGGCGAAAGCCUGACGGAGCAACGCCGCGUGAGUGAUGAAGGGUUUCGGCUCGUAAAACUCUGUUAUUAGGGAAGAACAAAUGUGUAAGUAACUGUGCACGUCUUGACGGUACCUAAUCAGAAAGCCACGGCCAACUACGUGCCAGCAGCCGCGGUAAUACGUAGGUGGCAAGCGUUAUCCGGAAUUAUUGGGCGUAAAGCGCGCGUAGGCGGUUUCUUAAGUCUGAUGUGAAAGCCCACGGCUCAACCGUGGAGGGUCAUUGGAAACUGGGAAACUUGAGUGCAGAAGAGGAAAGUGGAAUUCCAUGUGUAGCGGUGAAAUGCGCAGAGAUAUGGAGG